rnacentral:rRNA from 1 species
AGAUUGAACGCUGGCGGCAGGCCUAACACAUGCAAGUCGAGCGGUAGAGAGGUGCUUGCACCUCUUGAGAGCGGCGGACGGGUGAGUAAUGCCUAGGAAUCUGCCUAGUGGUGGGGGAUAACGUUCGGAAACGGACGCUAAUACCGCAUACGUCCUACGGGAGAAAGCGGGGGACCUUCGGGCCUCGCGCCAUUAGAUGAGCCUAGGUCGGAUUAGCUAGUUGGUGAGGUAAUGGCUCACCAAGGCGACGAUCCGUAACUGGUCUGAGAGGAUGAUCAGCCACACUGGAACUGAGACACGGUCCAGACUCCUACGGGAGCAGCAGUGGGGGAAUAUUGGACAAUGGGCGAAAGCCUGAUCCAGCCAUCGCCGCGUGUGUGAAG